AAGCUGUGAGCCAUUCGGGAGGGAUGUGAAAAUGAGCGCCCGCCGAGUCUCCCAGCAGAAUGAUCCCUCUGGGCUGUGAACCUAGGCAGGAUGGUCGGAGUUGCAGGAGAGAGGAAUGAAGCCUUGCCCAGUGCUUCAUCCAUCCCCUGGAAGAACCAGCUGGAGCUUCGGCAAGCAGAGUGGGCUCUCUUCACUUCGCAGCCUUGAGCGAAGUCUGAAAAUCUUACCCUCACCAUAUGGUUUGACCACACAGGUGGAGACUGAACUGUCCAGGCAUU